rnacentral:lncRNA from 1 species
GACCAUCUGAAACGUCAACCUUUAUAGAAGGAAAUGUCUCAUGAAAGUAGUAAAACAAGUAGACCUUUACUUGGAAACACGUAUUCCUCUCAAGAAUUCUUCAAAUGUCUAUAAAUUCUGGACACUUUAGAGUUGGUCUACGCGUAUCAUGAGUCAAGGAUCGAACAUAUUGUACACCAUGUUCACAAAACAGGUUGGUUAGUCUUCGUAAACAGGUAGACCAUUUUGCCUCACAAAAAAAGUAGACAUGUACUCGUAAAUAAACAGAUCAAGCUUCGUAAACAAGUAGACCUCUCAAGAAUUCUUCAAGUGUGUGUGAAUUCUGGACUCUUUAGAGUUGGUCUACUUGUAGUGUGAGACAAUGAUUCGAAAACCUAGUACACCAUGUUUACAAAACAGGUAGGUUUGUGUUCGUAAACAGGUAGACCAUUUUGUCUCAAUAAAAAAGUAGACUCUUUCUCGUAAAUAAGCAAACCAGGCUUCGUAAACAUGUAGACCUCUCAAGCAUUCUUCAAGUGCGUGUGAAUUCUGGACUCUUUAGAGUUGGUCUACUCGUAGUGUGAGACAAUGAUUCGAAAACCUGGUAGACCAUGUUUACAAAACAGGUAGGUUUGUGUUCAUAGACAGGUAGACCAUUUUGUCUCACAAAAAAAGUAGACAAUUUCUCGUAAAUAAGCAGACCAUGCUUCGUAAACAAGUAGACCUCUCAAGAAUUCUUCAAGUGUGUGUGAAUUCUGGACUCUUUAGAGUUGGUCCACUCGUACUGUGAGACAAUGAUUCAAAAACUUGGAAGACCAUGUUUACAAAACAGGUAGGUUCGUGUUCGUAAACAGGUAGACCAUUUUGUCUCACAAAAAAAGUAGACCAUUUCUCGUAAAUAAGCAGACCAGGCUUCAGAAACAGGUAGACCUCUCAAGAAUUCUUCAAGUGUGUGUGAAUUCUGGACUCUUUAGAGUUGGUCUACUCGUAGUGUGAGACAAUGAUUUGAAAAUAUGAUAGACAAUGUUUACAAAACAGGUAGGUUUGUGUUCGUAAACAGGUAGACUAUUUUGUCUCACAAAAAAAGUAGACUCUUUCUCGUAAAUAAGCAGACCAGGGUUCGUUAAUAGGUAGACCUCUCAAGAAUUCUUUAAGUGUUGUAAGUGUGUGUGUGAAUUCUGGACACUUUAGAGUUGGUCUACACGUAAUAUGAGUCAAUGAUUCGGAAACCUGGUAGACCAUGUUUACAAAACAAGUAGGUUUAUGUUCGUAAACAGGUAGACCAUUUUGUCUCACAAAAAAAGUAGACCCGUACUCGUAAAUAAGUAGACCAAGCUUCCUAAACAGGUAGACCUCUCAAGAAUUCUUUAAGUGUGUGUGAAUUCUGGACUCUUUAGAAUUGGUCUACUCGUACUGUGAGACAAUGAUUCGAAAACUUGGAAGACCAUGUUUACAAAACAGGUAGGUUUGUGUUCGUAAACAGGUAGACCAUUUUGUCUCACAAAAAAAGUAGACCCGUACUCGUAAAUAAACAGACCAGGCUUUGUAAACAGGUAGACUUCUUAAGAAUUCUUCAAGUGUGUGAAUUCUGGACUCUUUAGAGUUGGUCUAAUUGUAGUGUGAGACAAUGAUUCGAAAACUUGGUAGACCAUGUUUACAAAACAGGUAGGUUUGUAUUCGUAAACAGGUAAACCAUUUUGUCUCACAAAAAAAGUAGACCAUUUCUCAUAAAUAAGCAGACCAGGCUUUGUAAACAGGUAGACCUUUCAAGAAUUCUUCAAGUGUGUGUGAAUUUUGGACACUUUAGAGUUGGUCUACACGUAGUAUUAGUCAAUGAUUCGGAAACCUGGUAGACCAUGUUUACAAAACAUGUAGGUUAGUGUUCGUAAACAGGUAGACCAUUUUGUCUCACAAAAAAAGUAGACUUGUACUCGUAAAUAAGCGGAUCAGGCUUCAGAAACAGGUAGACCUCUCAAGAAUUCUUCAAGUGUGUGUGAAUUCUGGACUCUUUAGAGUUGGUCUACUCGUAGUGUGAGACAAUGAUUCGAACAGCUUGUACACCAUGUUCACAAAACAGGUAGGUUAGUCUUCGUAAACAAGUAGACCAUUUUGAUCUCGUUCUCUUUUAAUCUUGACCGUUGAUUCCUUCUUUGAAAACCCAACCAAGGUCAACUGACCCAAGUCGGGUCAAGCACUCUUCUCUCGCGUACGAUGAGAGCUGAGAAGCUCUCCGUCCCCGGCCGUCUUCUCCGACGCCGCCCGGUCGACUCUGGCCACCAUUCUCCACAAAACCACCACCAAAUUUCUUCUCUCUUUCCCCUCUACAUAACCCAGCCCGUGAAUCGCACAUACUGAUUCAAAGACAAAUCAACGACGAGAAGCUCCGACUGUGUUCGUUUGUUUCCGCCUUCUCCGGUGAUGACUUGGCCUAGAACUGGCAUAUUCGAACUUUUCCCUUCAUUCUUUGCACACUAGUGCCCUUAAUCCCUCGAAUCUUUUACAAAUCUUAAUAACCCCUUUACUGUCGAAUUUGAGUUUUCCGACGACCUGCUACGGUGGAUGCCGACGAGACUUUCUAGCGUCCUCUACUUCUUCCGAUGACCUAGGUCGACGUCAGAGGUGUUAAGCAGUGGUAAGUGACUUUGUAGCUACUGAGCAGGGUUGCUGUGUUUUCCGGUGUGUUUUUGUGAGAGAGAGAGAGAGAGAGAGAGAGAGAGAGAGAGAGAGAGAGAGAGAGAGAGAGAGAGAGA